rnacentral:sRNA from 1 species
CCUGGGGUUGAAAUCCCAGGCUAUUCUCUGUCGUCCCUAAAGGGACU